rnacentral:rRNA from 1 species
CCUACGGGGUGCAGCAGUCGAGAAUCAUUCACAAUGGGGGAAACCCUGAUGGUGCGACGCCGCGUGGGGGAAUGAAGGUCUUCGGAUUGUAAACCCCUGUCAUGUGGGAGCAAAUUAAAAAGAUAGUACCACAAGAGGAAGAGACGGCUAACUCUGUGCCAGCAGCCGCGGUAAUACAGAGGUCUCAAGCGUUGUUCGGAAUCACUGGGCGUAAGGCGUGCGUAGGCUGUUUCGUAAGUCGUGUGUGAAAGGCGCGGGCUCAACCCGCGGACGGCACAUGAUACUGCGAUACUAGAGUAAUGGAGGGGGAACCGGAAUUCUCGGUGUAGCAGUGAAAUGCGUAGAUAUCGAGAGGAACACUCGUGGCGAAGGCGGGUUCCUGGACAUUAACUGACGCUGAGGCACGAAGGCCAGGGGAGCGAAAGGGAUUAGAUACCCGAGUAGUC